GUUGAGGGGCCCCAUCUGGUGCUGGGCUUCAUGCUGGGAGGAGAGUAGAGCCAAGCGAGCAUGUGUGCGUCCUGCCCGCCUCUCCUUCCCAGGGUCCCUGAGGUCCUACCCCUCCCGAGCUCACCCAACCUGCCCAUCUCCCUCUCCCAAGGGGGCCAAUUUUAACCUCACAGUGGGGACUCAAUUUCCAUGUGCAUUUCAGGGGAGCAAAGCAUAUUCAAACCAGGGCAAGUGUUUUGUUUCCGUCAAUGCAUUUUACAGCCAGAUGUCUGAGCUUUCAGGCUUUCACAUAAGGACAAGCGAGGAGCCCAACUGGAAGAAGACGGAAGACAGAAAGACUGCACAGGCAGCUCACCCUGGAGAGCUGGGCUCUCUCUUCCCCUACACUUCGCAUCAUAAAGUGAAAUAAAGGCUUAGUUGCCUGGCCUGGUAGGGCAGGCCUGUGCUCCCAGCAUUCCGCCUGAAGCAGGAGGAGCCUGGUCUCCUUCUGUACCCCAGGAUGGCCUUGAACUCAAGGCUAUCCUCCUGCCUCAGCAUCCAGAAUGCAGAGAUUGCAGAUGCGUGCCACCACGCCCGCGUGCCAGAGAAGUGGUCUCUAGCCUGAGGCGAUCAGCAGCCCCUACAGAGAACAAGAGCCACCCAGAGUGGGGGCAUCAGAGCCCCGAGACUUGGCUAGAACCUUCCCUGGACAGAAUCUUCGUUCUGUGUGGGGAGGGAGGUUGAGACAACAGGCACUAAGGUAGGCACACGGAGGAGCACCCGGGCCCUGCUAUUCAGGAACAAAAGGACAUGCAGCACAAACUUGGGCCCUCAGUGCCCUUAGUAUUGUACAUAGGUAAGUUAAUUAGUUAUCUUGUAGGCAGUUAGACAGGAGCCACCCUCACGGAGCCAACACAGCGAGGAGCCAACAUGGAGGACAACUGAGGCACAUUAACUGGUUAGCAUUAUAAAGAGAAGAGAAGUGGGCCGGGGAUUUAGCUCAGUGGUUCUGCCUCCUGCCCCGCAAGUGCAAGGAUCAGACUUUGAUCCCCGGUACCAAAAAAAAAAAAAAAAAAAAAAAAAAAAAAAAAAAAGAAGAAGAGCUCUACUUCCCCUAGAGAUAGCAGUGAUUGAUAUUCCAAAUGGGAAACUUCUCGUAUGUGACUUGUUUUCCCAUUUGAUCCCCAUUUAAUCAGUAUUACCUGGGUCACUGUACUGAAGGACCCUUGUUAGCAAGACAGACUCCAUAUUGCUGCUUGACCCACCUGCCUACCCUUUAGAUGAACUCAGAAGGAGGAAACUUAAAAACCUCCUCCCCUUGGAGAGUCUCUUUAGAAAUAACAGUUAAUCAACUAUUGUUUUAUAAAUGUUCUAACAGCAGGACGUUCUGCUUCUGUACCUUUUGAUUGCUUUACUAGUUCUAUCCCUUAGGGGGCCCUAGAAACUGUAGGCCUCAAAGGUGUAUAAAAUAUGUUAAUCUUCCCC
rnacentral:lncRNA from 1 species